rnacentral:rRNA from 1 species
UGCUCUCGGGUGACGAGCGGCGGACGGGUGAGUAAUGUCUGGGAAACUGCCUGAUGGAGGGGGAUAACUACUGGAAACGGUAGCUAAUACCGCAUAAUGUCGCAAGACCAAAGUGGGGGACCUUCGGGCCUCAUGCCAUCAGAUGUGCCCAGAUGGGAUUAGCUAGUAGGUGGGGUAACGGCUCACCUAGGCGACGAUCCCUAGCUGGUCUGAGAGGAUGACCAGCCACACUGGAACUGAGACACGGUCCAGACUCCUACGGGAGGCAGCAGUGGGGAAUAUUGCACAAUGGGCGCAAGCCUGAUGCAGCCAUGCCGCGUGUGUGAAGAAGGCCUUCGGGUUGUAAAGCACUUUCAGCGGGGAGGAAGGCGUUGAGGUUAAUAACCUUGUCGAUUGACGUUACCCGCAGAAGAAGCACCGGCUAACUCCGUGCCAGCAGCCGCGGUAAUACGGAGGGUGCAAGCGUUAAUCGGAAUUACUGGGCGUAAAGCGCACGCAGGCGGUCUGUCAAGUCGGAUGUGAAAUCCCCGGGCUCAACCUGGGAACUGCAUUCGAAACUGGCAGGCUAGAGUCUUGUAGAGGGGGGUAGAAUUCCAGGUGUAGCGGUGAAAUGCGUAGAGAUCUGGAGGAAUACCGGUGGCGAAGGCGGCCCCCUGGACAAAGACUGACGCUCAGGUGCGAAAGCGUGGGGAGCAAACAGGAUUAGAUACCCUGGUAGUCCACGCCGUAAACGAUGUCGAUUUGGAGGUUGUGCCCUUGAGGCGUGGCUUCCGGAGCUAACGCGUUAAAUCGACCGCCUGGGGAGUACGGCCGCAAGGUUAAAACUCAAAUGAAUUGACGGGGGCCCGCACAAGCGGUGGAGCAUGUGGUUUAAUUCGAUGCAACGCGAAGAACCUUACCUGGUCUUGACAUCCACAGAACUUUCCAGAGAUGGAUUGGUGCCUUCGGGAACUGUGAGACAGGUGCUGCAUGGCUGUCGUCAGCUCGUGUUGUGAAAUGUUGGGUUAAGUCCCGCAACGAGCGCAACCCUUAUCCUUUGUUGCCAGCGGUUAGGCCGGGAACUCAAAGGAGACUGCCAGUGAUAAACUGGAGGAAGGUGGGGAUGACGUCAAGUCAUCAUGGCCCUUACGACCAGGGCUACACACGUGCUACAAUGGCAUAUACAAAGAGAAGCGACCUCGCGAGAGCAAGCGGACCUCAUAAAGUAUGUCGUAGUCCGGAUUGGAGUCUGCAACUCGACUCCAUGAAGUCGGAAU